rnacentral:lncRNA from 1 species
GAUCUAUCACGGGAAUUCUCAGACAGAAAAUAAAAGCUGCUCAGGAGAGCUGCUGACCUUCACUGCUGCCUUCUGGAAGUUUUUGUGUGCCAACAGCCCUGAGGGAGACCCUGAGCACCCUGUGCUUGGAAAGAGGAGGUGCAGAGGCAACGCCCAGAAAUGUCAGAGCUCUGCAGAGGAUUGGAGCAGGGGACCUACAUGUCCCAAAACAGCUUUACAGAGGAUGUGCCAGUCUGGGGAUCAAUCUCUGCCUCAGAAGAAGGUAGGAGAAAUCAUAUUUACCCUGCAGAGAGCAGCACCUGCUC